GUGGGGAAUCUUGCGCAAUGGGCGAAAGCCUGACGCAGCAACGCCGCGUGCGGGAUGAAGGCCUUCGGGUUGUAAACCGCUUUCAGCAGGGACGAAAAUGACGGUACCUGCAGAAGAAGCUCCGGCUAACUACGUGCCAGCAGCCGCGGUAAUACGUAGGGAGCAAGCGUUGUCCGGAUUUAUUGGGCGUAAAGAGCUCGUAGGCGGUUUCGUAAGUCGAGUGUGAAAAAUCUGGGCUUAACCCAGUGGAGCACUCGAUACUGCGAUGACUUGAGUCUGGUAGAGGAGUGUGGAAUUCCUGGUGUAGCGGUGAAAUGCGCAGAUAUCAGGAGGAACACCAACGGCGAAGGCAGCACUCUGGGCCAGUACUGACGCUGAGGAGCGAAAGCGUGGGGAGCAUACAGGAUUAGAUACCCCAGUAGUCC
rnacentral:rRNA from 1 species